UAUAAAAUAAAGAAGAACAGCUAUUUAGUGUGUUGUAACCUUAUGGAUGAUUGGGUUAAUAAUGUUCAGCGAUAGCUGGAUCUCAGCAUCACAUAUUAUGUUUUUUACAUAAUUUGUGCAACACGUUUAAAUAAAAUGAUUUUGAACAAUUCUCGGCGUAAUAUUAAUGUUUUUUGACAUGUAUGAAUUGUGUUUUCGCGGGUGGAAUAUCGAAAAGACAAUGGCAGAAUUAAUGUUUUCUGUCGUCACUUUCAAAAUAGAACUUGUAGAGAAAAGUUUGAAGUAUUGUUGAUCUAUUACUUUAUUAUUGAUAAUGCCUGGAAAUAAACGUAAAUCAGGGAGUGGGACUGUUAAAUAUGAACUAUUUCAAGAAGCUCCAGAAGGAGAAACAGUGACUCAGUAAUAGAGGAGACAGUGAGAUGUGAAAAGCGAGACGAAUCUGUGAAUGACAUUCUUCCUGGACAGGUACCCCUGAGAAAACGGUCACAAAUUCAGAAUCCCACCCAGCCAUGCUGGAUGGCCAAAGGAAAUCAGGCAUUGAUCCAAAAUGGAAACAAGCGUUUCCCUGGAUGACAGUCUCAAGAGAACGGCCAAGGUAUGUUGUGUUCAGUUUGUGUAAAGCACCAGAGAAGGCCAAAGAAGUGUGUUCCUGAUAGAGCCUUGUGGGUUAACUUGACAUUCAAUGUUCUUCAAUCAGGCAAUCAUCUUUAAUAAAUAAUAAAGACUCAGACUCACACAAGAAAGCAUUGGUAUUUGAUGUUGCGGAAGCAAAAACAGGUGGUGGGAUCGAGGCUUGUUUUGUGAGGGGUGAACCGUGAGGCAAUGACAGCAUCUAUGACACUGCUUUACUUUCCGUGUAAGGAGGAAAUUCCCCACACCACCAAAUACAAAGCUUUAGUUGAUGUAGCUAAGACAUUAGGAGUGGAUGUUCUAAAUAGUUGGAGAAGGGGGAUAACGCCAAGUACACAAAAUUGAUAAGUUUACGUUGUCAUUCAGCAAAUAAAUUCCACAGGAAUAGAAGACUGAAACUUUAAUGUGCAGUGCUAAAAUUGUGUUGUUUUAAAUUAUGUAAAAUAAAUAGUGGACAUUUUCAGAAACUUACAUAACUGGAUAAGUUUACAUUGUCAUUCAGCAAAUAAACUCCAGAGAAAUUUUUUAUGACACAUUA